rnacentral:misc_RNA from 1 species
AGAGAGAGAACAACACCUCGUUGUAGAUGUACCAGAAUAUCUAUAUUGUUCUAAGAUCGGGAAUGAAUGUUUUUUUCUUCAGACAUACGCCACUUAUUGAGAUUGAAUAGUCUUUGACAAUGCUGUUUAUAUCGGGAAAAAUUUUGGAUUCUUGCUGUUGCCAGAGAAUGAACAAAAUGUCCCCACUGUACGUCCUUGCUCUCUGUUGCCUGGCAACCACAGUUUUCGCGAAGUAUGACUGUACAAACAAUGGCGGAUAUGGUUGUAAAUAUGGCGGAACGUGCCACUUCUAUGGCUUCUGUAUUUGCCCAAAAGGAUUCCAAGGCGAAGACUGCGGAUUAAAGACUGAGCUCAUUUCAACAGCCGCCAACUGUACAGCAGAGUGCAAAAAUGGAGGCACAUGCUACGAAAGCGACAGGUGUUAUUGCCCUCAUGGAUUCAUCGGAGAUAUGUGCGAAAUUCCAGACACUGUGGCCAGGUGCGCCCCCGACAGGAUGAUCAUUGAGGCCUACAGACCCCUUGGAUUCGUGGGAGAGGUUUACAUGUUCAAGAACAGAAAAUCUUGCGCCCUGAAACAGGUUCCUUCAGAUAUCAGGGACAUGAUGAAACUAGAGAGAGUGGUCCUACACAGCGACAAGACGGAGUGUGCCCUUACACGUACCCCCGAUACACCCAAGUUGGGGGAUGUUACUAUGAAGACAACUGUUGUUAGUACACACAACUACAAUCAAUUUGGACCACGUGAUAGUAUCAUGGACGUCUCUUGUGUACACACUAAUAGUUUCCAAGGAUCAACAAAAGAAAUCACAGAAACAGCUUUCCCGUUCCGUAUGGUUGCUUUGGAUAUGAAUGGUGAACCCGUUCAAGCACUCGCUGCCAAUGAGAGCAUUAUACUGCAAUUCGAACCGGUUGGAAUUCCAGAUGUUCGUGGCGUUAUGGUUGAGUAUUUGGAAGUCUAUAGCAUCAACGCUAAUUCCAACGAGGUUGUCAGCAAAACUAUCAUAGAAAACGGAUGUGUUACUGAGAACAGCACAGCAGCAUUUGGAAAUUCCGAUCCGAAAUUACUCAGAGAUGAACAGACAGGGAACCUCCUGGGUGGCGAGAGUUGCAAUGAGAGCUUUUAUUUUGCUUCCGGGAGAACCACUGUUAUUCAAGUCUAGAUUACGCUUCUGUCCCGGAAAGUGCCACGGGGUGACAUGCGCCAUGUAAUCAAGAACAGUAUUUGGCAAGGACAGACAGAAAAAGGAAACUUCCUCUAUAAACAGUCGUUGCGAUAUUGUCGUUCAGUAUACUCAUAUUUAUUUAAACACACGCUUCAUUUGUUUCGAUCUCGAAGAAAAUGAUUAUUAUCAAACGACAAAAUUAUAUGAUCAUACGAAGUCUAUUUUAUUUCAUAAUUUUGCUUAUUGCUAAAAUUUGCUACUUUUGUCUACUGGCAGCUACAUUAGCCAGUGAAUCUUUGUGAUUUCUUGUAACCCUUUUGGAAGGUAUUCAAUAAUUUGAAAAAAAUGAACAAUUAUGUUCAGCUUAACUGCCAGGAAUAAAAAAAAUAUACAUGUUUAAUAAUAAAAAAGCAUAGAUCUGCGUAUCUGUAUUUAAUUUUCAUCCCAUUGAAUAAAGAUGAUAUUUUGUU